AUUGAACGCUGGCGGCAGGCUUAACACACGCAAGUCGAGCGGAGAUGAGGUGCUUGCACCUUAUCUUAGCGGCGGACGGGUGAGUAAUGCUUAGGAAUCUGCCUAUUAGUGGGGGACAACAUUCCGAAAGGAAUGCUAAUACCGCAUACGCCCUACGGGGGAAAGCAGGGGAUCUUCGGAUCUUGCGCUAAUAGAUGAGCGUAAGUCGGAUUAGCUAGUUGGUGGGGUAAAGGCCUACCAAGGCGACGAUCUGUAGCGGGUCUGAGAGGAUGAUCCGCUACACUGGGACUGAGACACGGCCCAGACUCCUACGGGAGGCAGCAGUGGGGAAUAUUGGACAAUGGGCGGAAGCCUGAUCCAGCCAUGCCGCGUGUGUGAAGAAGGCCUUAUGGUUGUAAAGCACUUUAAGCGAGGAGGAGGCUACUGAGACUAAUACUCUUGGAUAGUGGACGUUACUCGCAGAAUAAGCACCGGCUAACUCUGUGCCAGCCGCCGCGGUAAAAC
rnacentral:rRNA from 1 species